UACAGAGGGUGCGAGCGUUAAUCGGAAUUACUGGGCGUAAAGCGCGCGUAGGCGGUUUUUCAAGUCGGGUGUGAAAUCCCCAGGCUCAACCUGGGAACUGCACUCGAGACUGGAUUACUAGAGUAUGGGAGAGGGAAGUGGAAUUUCCGGUGUAGCGGUGAAAUGCGUAGAUAUCGGAAGGAACAUCAGUGGCGAAAGCGACUUCCUGGACCAAUACUGACGCUCAUGUGCGAAAGCGUGGGGAGCAAACAGG
rnacentral:rRNA from 1 species